rnacentral:rRNA from 1 species
UACAGAGGGUGCGAGCGUUGUCCGGAAUCACUGGGCGUAAAGGGCGCGUAGGCGGCCGAUCAAGUCGGGGGUGAAAGCCUGUGGCUCAACCACAGAAUUGCCUUCGAUACUGGUUGGCUUGAGACCGGAAGAGGUAAGUGGAACUGCGAGUGUAGAGGUGAAAUUCGUAGAUAUUCGCAAGAACACCAGUGGCGAAGGCGGCUUACUGGUCCGGUUCUGACGCUGAGGCGCGAAAGCGUGGGGAGCAAACAGG